rnacentral:misc_RNA from 1 species
GAACUAGUUAUAAAACAGACUAAAUUAAAAAACUUGGAGAAACAAGGCGCGGAGCAUCCAAGACUAACCAUGAAAAGCAAAAAGGACUCAAACACAAGGGAUCAAGAACUGAGGGUUCAGGGAACACAGAACAAAAUAUAAGAGACGGAAUUCCAAGAACAGGCAACAUAUGAAAUUGCAGCCAGCGAACAAAACACGAUCUAACACAGCGCACCCAAGUUUUAAGCCAAAAACCCAAAGGGAAACGCCCCUACUUGAGAUAAGACAACAGCAGACCCAAACCAAACCUCCGCCAACCAACAAGUAGCGCCAGCAUAUGAGCUUAAUUAAGC